rnacentral:rRNA from 1 species
GACGAACGCUGGCGGCAGGCCUAACACAUGCAAGUCGAGCGGAGCGGCGGACGGGUGAGUAAUGUAUGUGGAUCUGCCCGAUAGAGCGGGAUAACCUCCGGAAACGGGUGCCAAUACCGCAUACUAUCAGAUGAACCUAGGUCGGAUUAGCUAGUUGGUGGGGUAAAGGACUACCAAGGCGACGAUCCGUAACUGGUCUGCGAGGAUGAUCAGUCACACUGGAACUGAGACACGGUCCAGACUCCUACGGGAGGCAGCAGUGGGGAAUAUUGGACAAUGGGCGAAAGCCUGAUCCAGCCAUGCCGCGUGUGGGAAGAAGGUCUUCGGAUUGUAAAGCACUUUAAGUUGGGAGGCGUUACCAACAGAAUAAGCACCGGCUAACUUCGUGCCAGCCGCCGCGGUAAUAC